rnacentral:rRNA from 1 species
CGCGGGGGGGAGCAAGCGUUGUUCGGAAUCACUGGGCGUAAAGGGCGCGUAGGCGGCUGUACAAGUCAAAGGUGAAAUCCCUCGGCUCAACUGAGGAACUGCCUUUGAAACUGUACGCUUGAGGCCGGGAGGGGGUAGCGGAAUUCCCAGUGUAGCGGUGAAAUGCGUAGAGAUGUGGAGGAACACCGAUGGCGAAGGCAGCCCCCUGGGUCAAGAUUGACGCUCAUGCACGAAAGCGUGGGGAGCAAACAGG